UACGUAGGGUGCGAGCGUUAAUCGGAAUUACUGGGCGUAAAGCGUGCGCAGGCGGUUUGUUAAGACAGAUGUGAAAUCCCCGGGCUUAACCUGGGAACUGCAUUUGUGACUGGCAAGCUAGAGUAUGGCAGAGGGGGGUAGAAUUCCACGUGUAGCAGUGAAAUGCGUAGAGAUGUGGAGGAAUACCGAUGGCGAAGGCAGCCCCCUGGGCCAAUACUGACGCUCAUGCACGAAAGCGUGGG
rnacentral:rRNA from 1 species